rnacentral:rRNA from 1 species
UGCCAGCCGCCGCGGUAAUACGGAGGGGGUUAGCGUUGUUUGGAAUUACUGGGCGUAAAGAGCGUGUAGGCUGUUAGGUAAGUCAGAGGUGAAAUCCCUAAGCUCAACUUAGGAACUGCCUUUGAUACUAUCUUACUAGAGAUCGAGAGAAGUUAGCGGAAUUCCAAGUGUAGAGGUGAAAUUCGUAGAUAUUUGGAAGAACACCAGUGGCGAAAGCGGCUAACUGGCUCGUAUCUGACGCUGAGACGCGAAAGCGUGGGUAGCAAACAGGAUUAGAUA